UGCCCAGCAACUCCUAUCCCUACCUCCUUGUGGUACUGGUCGGGAUACGAGCAACCUUAGGGAAGA
rnacentral:ribozyme from 1 species